rnacentral:rRNA from 1 species
UUGGAGGGCAAGUCUGGUGCCAGCAGCCGCGGUAAUUCCAGCUCCAAUAGCGUAUAUUAAAGUUGUUGCAGUUAAAAAGCUCGUAGUUGAAUUUCGGAAUCGACGGAUUGGUCGCGCCUUCGGUGUGUACUGGUCUUGCCGGUUUCUCCCUUCUGACGAACCACGAUGUCAUCAAUUUGGUGUCGUGGGGAAUCAGGACUGUUACUUUGAAAAAAUUAGAGUGUUUAAAGCAGGCAUUAGCUUGAAUACAUUAGCAUGGAAUAAUGAAAUAGGACGUUUGAUCUUAUUUUGUUGGUUUCUAGGAUCGACGUAAUGAUUAAUAGGGACAGUCGGGGGCAUCAGUAUUCAAUUGUCAGAGGUGAAAUUCUUGGAUUUAUUGAAGACUAACUACUGCGAAAGCAUUUGCCAAGGAUGUUUUCAUUAAUCAGUGAACGAAAGUUAGGGGAUCGAAGACGAUCAGAUACCGUCGUAGUCUUAACCAUAAACUAUGCCGACUAGGGAUCGGGCGGUGUUUCUAUUGUGACCCGCUCGGCACCUUACGGGAAACCAAAGUGUUUGGGUUC